rnacentral:rRNA from 1 species
AGAUGGCGACCGGCGCACGGGUGAGUAACACGUAUCCAACCUGCCGAUAACUCGGGGAUAGCCUUUCGAAAGAAAGAUUAAUACCCGAUGGCAUAAUAGAACCGCAUGGUUUGAUUAUUAAAGAAUUUCGGUUAUCGAUGGGGAUGCGUUCCAUUAGGCAGUUGGUGGGGUAACGGCCCACCAAACCUUCGAUGGAUAGGGGUUCUGAGAGGAAGGUCCCCCACAUCGGAACUGAGACACGGUCCAA